GUAGGGGUGCGAGCGUUAUCCGGAUUUACUGGGCGUAAAGGAGUGCCGUAGGCGAUCUGAUGCGUCCGAUUUGAAAUCCCACGGCUCAACCGUGGAAACGGGUCGGAUACGGUCGGAAUUGAGUCUGUUCGGGAGGCUGGAAUUGACGGUGGAGGGGUGAAAUCCGUUGAGAUCGUCAAGAACACCGAGGGCGAAGGCAAGCUUCUAGGACAGCACUGACGCUGAGGGACGAAAGCUAGGGUAGCAAACCGAAUUAGAGACCCGGGUAGUCCUAGCCGUAAACGAUGGAUACUAGCUGUUCGAGUCUGGCUCGAUUGGCGUAAGCUAACGCGUUAAGUAUCCCGCCUGGGGAGUACGACCGCAAAGGUUAA
rnacentral:rRNA from 1 species